GGGGAUGUCGCUCAAUAAUAGAGCACAUACCUAGCAUGCAUGAGGCCCUGGGUUCCAUCCUCAGUACCACCA
rnacentral:tRNA from 1 species